CGGUAGCUCGUCAGGCUCAUAACCUGAAGGCCGCAGGUUCAAAUCCUGCCCCCGCAACCA
rnacentral:tRNA from 1 species